rnacentral:lncRNA from 1 species
GGGCCGGGGCCGGGCAGUAGCACCGUCCAGUCCCUCCACUAAAUACGCCAAUGGCUGCAUAUCCUCUCUAGUAGAAUACUUCAACUAUAACUCGUCUCUGGGAUGAACUUGGCAAUAAAACUUUUAGGUCAUCUUUUAGGUUAUCUUCAAUCCUACAAUAAAAUUUGAAGUAAGUUUUGCAUCAUUUUUACACCAAAUUUUACAUUGAAAUAAAAAUUAUCUCCAAUCAUUAUAUCAAAACUUACACAAUAUGAACAGCGUUUAAUCAUUUUCUUCAUUUUUUUAUUUUUAACAAUUAUUUAUUUGAAAAAUUAUUUAUUUAUUUAUUUUACAACUACAUAAAUUACUAAAUAAAUGAUUACGUUAAAUUAAACGAAAAUAUUAAAUUCAUUAAUAGAUAUAUAAAAAAAUAAAGUACAAUCAAUAGAAACACUACAAAAAAAGAAAAUAUUAAAUUACACCAUUAAAAAAAUAAUGCAAUAUGUGUAUAUGGUUGUAAUAUAUUUCAUAUUAACUUUACCUAACCGUGUUUCAUAUAUUUUAAUUUUUUUAAUUCUUAUUUUAAUUAAUUCAUUAACUAUUAUUUUUUGUACAUUAAUAAUAAUAGUAGUAGUAGUAGUAGUAGUAAUAGUAGUAAAAUUUUAUUGUAUUUAAAAAUAUAUAACAUAAAUAACACAAAUACACUUAAUCAAUUUGUUUGAAAAGUUAAAACAAAGGGUAAAAUUGACUUUGCACCAAUUUUAUGCAAAAUGGUGCAAAGUGAAGUGCUACACUGAGACAUUUAGCACCACUUUUUGAUGCAUUUUGGUGUUUUGGUAUCUCCUUUAAGACCAUCUCCAACCCUACAUUAUUUUGCACCAAAUCUUGCACUAAACUAAAAAUCAUAUCCAAUCCAUUACAUCAAAAGUUGCACCAAAUGAACAAUAUUUAUUUAUUUUUAACAAUUUAUAUAGUUGAAAAUUUAUUUAUUUACUCGAUUUACUACUACAUAAAUUAUUACAUACAUAAUUACAUUUUGUUUAUGAAAAUAUGAAAUUAUUUAAUAUAUUUUAUAAAUGUAGCACAAUUAAUAAAAAUACCACAACUAAGAAAAUAUGAAUCUCGAAAUUAUGGUAUAGAGAAGUCAAUCUAGUGUUUAAUUUAAUUAUCGGAUUCAUAUAAUUAUCCCACAAAUGUUCAUUUAAUGCAUUUCGUUUUGAAUACUUUUAUUUUAAUUUGUUCAUCUAUUAUUAUCAAUUACACGAUUAAAGUUUAUUACAAAUGAUGAUUAUCAAUAUUAUUAUUAUUAUUAUUAAUUAAUUACGAAUUAAAAUUUAUGUAUGAUGUAAAAUGAUACAAAUAUCCUUCAUAUCAACUUGGUCAUACAUGAAAAAGGGCAAAAUAAAUUUUUAUUAUAUGAUGCAAAAUAGUGUAAGAUUUGAUGUUGAGUUGGAGGGGUGUUUUUGAUGAAAAAUGAUGAAAUUUGGUGAAAAAUAAUGAAAUGGUGUAUGGGUUGCAGUUACCUGAGGCAUUAAUACCACUAGCAAUGUACUCCAUCAUCUCACGUCCAACCCAACUCAAAUGUCAAAUCCUGACCUAAGUCCUCCUUAAGCUCCAGUUUGAUGCUUAUUAAAAAGGGUUUUUUUUGAACAAAAUGAGCACUUGUUUGAUCCCAUUAUUUACAAAAUAUAUUUUUCUCUCUUUUUUAUAACCAUAUUUUUCAAUAAAAUAAUAUUACACGUAAAAUAAAAAUUUUUAAUUUUUUAAUCAUGCAUUCUUCAUUAAUCUACUGCUCCAAAUUACAUUCUCAAAAGGGAGGGGAAAACUAAAAUAGAGAAAAUGAAUUUAUGUGUAAAUACUUUACUGUGAGAAUGUACAAUGAAAAUAAUUUUGAAGAAUGAUAGACAAACAGGGACGAAGUCAUUACUCAAGUACACUCCGCACAAAUAUUUUUCCUUUCUUCGCUGAUUUAAGUAUUAGAAGGAUGAUACUAUGCCUCGUUUGAGUUCUAUUAGUUUUUAGAAAAAAAAUUAUUUUGUAAUAAUAGUUUUAUAAAGAAUGUGUAAUUAAAAAAGAAUGAAAAAUUUUAAAUUUAUUUGUAAUAUUAUUUUAAAAAAUGUUUAAUUGAAAAAAAGAAAAAAAAUGCAUUUUAAAAUGGGAAAAUUACAUAAAUCCAAGGGUUUAAACAUUACAAUUCAAACACCAAGGCUAGAGUUUCAUUAUGCAAUAAUCAGGUAUUAAUUUAAUAAUUUAAAUAUUAAUUUCUUCCAAUUCAAUUUUCCCAACCCUAAUUUCAUGUUUUGUUCUCUCUCUACCAUCUCCAUACUCUGCCUUCUCUCGAUCAUGAAACACCAUCGUCGCCACCGUCGAUCACGAUUCACGACGACGACGGCUAUCACGACGGAGGCGACGCUCAAAAGCAUCCUCACCGGUGGCUAUUCUAUUGGUUUUCUCUCUCUUCUCCUUUGCUUCGCUACCACGAAUAGGGUUACAGUAGAUCUAGGUAGGUUACAACUUACAGGCGGUAGUGGUGGAUUUGACCGGUGGUGGUAUUGCUGUUUCCAGUUUGGUGACGGUGGUGUUGCAAAAAUCGUGGUGGCGGCGGCGGUCUUCAACUGUGAAUUUGAUUUUUGUAGUGGGUGUGGAGUAGUUUUGGGGUUUGUGUUGCUGGUGGUAAGGGUGAUGGCUGUGGGCGUGAGGUUGCGGUGGCGAUGUGUUUGGUUGGCGAUGGAUUUGGAUGGUGUCUUGUGCAAUGACGGUGUCUUGUAUGGUGGUAGACUCUGUACAGCGUGGACGUGGGUGCGGUGGUGGCGUUUGUGGUCGGCUUUCUUGAUCGGUGUUUUGUUGGAGGUUGUGGUGGUGUGGUGAAGGACACGGUGACAGUUUUUGUUGGUGAUUUAGUUUAGGCAGCGAUGGUGUGGUUCAGAUGGCAAUGAUGGUAGGUUUGGUGGUGGAGUAUUUGUGACCAUGUACUGAGGUGGAUCGAGAUCGGUGUUUGGUGUCUGUGACCAACAAUUAAUCUGUGACCUUGAAAUUCGAUCAUUUUAUGACUAAAAAAUAAUUUGUGACUAUCAAAUUCAAAAUUACGUGACCUGUGACCUAUAGUUGUGACUCGUGACCUAUAACUUUUUAGAUUUGUAACCAAUGACAUAAACUGUGGCCUAUAAAAUUGAUGGAUAAAUUGUGAUUCGUGACCAUGAAAUAAUUUGUGACCUAUCAAAGUUUUGAUUCGUGAUCUCGAAAUAAUUUGUGACCAAUUAAUUGUAAAUAUGUGACCAAGAAAUAAAUCUGUGACUUAUAAAUGUGUACACGUGAUCAUUAAUUGUAUAAUUGUAAUUUUAUUAUAUUUGAUUAACAAAUAUUUUUAAUUAAUUAGAUAAAAGCCUGAUUUUUACAUUAGUUAAACUUUAAACAUGAUUUUUGAACUGUGCAUAGUUAAUACAUGGUUUAUAAAUUUUUCUCUUUUAAAAUUAAUGUAGCCAAACAUGGACUACAUAAAGCCUCCGUUUGGCCCACCCCUUAAAUGUGUGUGGCCUGUACAGGGGUUCUUCGAAAAGAGACUAUCAGGGUAUAGGCUUACCUUCGCCCGGCCCCACUUUAGGGAGGAAAUAGUAAUCAGCGUGAAUCACAC